GACGAACGCUGGCGGCGUGCCUAACACAUGCAAGUCGAACGGAGAAUUAGCAAUAAUUCUUAGUGGCGAACGGGUGAGUAACGCGUAGACAACCUACCCUUUAGAUGGGGACAACACCGCGAAAGUGGUGCUAAUACCGAAUAUUGCUUGAGAAGCGCAUGCUUUUCAAACUAAAGAUGGCCUCUAUUUAUAAGCUAUCGCUAAAGAAUGGGUCUGCGUCUGAUUAGCUAGUUCGUGAGAUAAAAGCUCACCAAGGCAACGAUCAGUAGCCGGUGUGAGAGGACGAACGGGCACACGGGGACUGAGACACGGCCCGGACUCCGACGGGCGGCAGAAGUGGGGAAUCGUCCGCAAUGGACGAAAGUCUGACGGAGCAACGCCGCGUGAGUGAUGAAGGUUUUCGGAUCGUAAAACUCUGUUGUUAAGGGCGAAUGUAUAGAUUGUGAAUAAUGGUUUAUAAUGACGGUACUUAACGAGGAAGCCACGGCUAACUACGUGCCAGCAGCCGCGGUAA
rnacentral:rRNA from 1 species